UGCAGUCGAACGAUGAUCCCAGCUUGCUGAGGGAUUAGUGGCGAACGGGUGAGUAACACGUGAGUAACCUGCCCUUGACUCUGGGAUAAGCCUGGGAAACUGGGUCUAAUACCGGAUACGACCAUCUGGCGCAUGUCAUGGUGGUGGAAAGCUUUUGUGGUUUUGGAUGGACUCGCGGCCUAUCAGCUUGUUGGUGGGGUAAUGGCCUACCAAGGCGACGACGGGUAGUCGGCCUGAGAGGGUGACCGGCCACACUGGGACUGAGACACGGCCCAGACUCCUACGGGAGGCAGCAGUGGGGAAUAUUGCACAAUGGGCGCAAGCCUGAUGCAGCGACGCCGCGUGAGGGAUGACGGCCUUCGGGUUGUAAACCUCUUUCAGUAGGGAAGAAGCGUAAGUGACGGUACCUGCAGAAGAAGCGCCGGCUAACUACGUGCCAGCAGCCGCGGUAAUACGUAGGGCGCAAGCGUUAUCCGGAAUUAUUGGGCGUAAAGAGCUCGUAGGCGGUUUGUCGCGUCUGCUGUGAAAGACCGGGGCUCAACUCCGGUUCUGCAGUGGGUACGGGCAGACUAGAGUGCAGUAGGGGAGACUGGAAUUCCUGGUGUAGCGGUGAAAUGCGCAGAUAUCAGGAGGAACACCGAUGGCGAAGGCAGGUCUCUGGGCUGUAACUGACGCUGA
rnacentral:rRNA from 1 species